rnacentral:lncRNA from 1 species
GCUGUACAGAGCCAUUUUGAUUUCUCCAAUCUCAUUUAUUAAUUGUUGGUAUUGCCUCCUGUGCUAUGGGAGUUCUAAUCAGAAAGUCUUUACCUAUGCCAGAAAGUUAAAGUUAAAGUCUAUUUCCCACCUUUUCUUCUAGCAUUUUCUUGGUAUCAAGUCUUUUGGCGAAGUUUUAAUUCUUUAUCUACAUAUAGAAAUACAAAGUUCUCCAUUAUAAAGUAUAUUUUAAAAGAAAACACUAGAACUUUAUAUGGAUGAUGUCAUAUAAAUUACAAAUAAUGUUAUUCUAUGUAGAAUAAUAUAUGAUAUGGCCUCAUACUAACUUUGGCAAUAUGUUAUAAUAUUCUGGAUCCUUCUCAUUCUCUGGCUUCUUCCGUCUUCACAUCUAGCUUGUUCUCUUUGUAACAGUUUCUAUAAAACUGUCCCAGUCAAACUGCCAUGCAUGUCAUGGUCUAGGAGUCUUUCCACAAACUACAAGCCCUAAUAUCAGUCAGACAGGAGUGGUUUAUUGAACAUACACCUUAAUACUGGUCAGACCAGGAACAUAGUUCAGAACUGGGGUCUGAAACUGUGACAAUGGACAUCUUUUUCUAACAGUUUAAAAAGGAAACAAACAAAAAACCCAAAAAUCCAAACAAAAAAACAAAACAAAAA